rnacentral:lncRNA from 8 species
AUGGACGAGUUAUUGGGAAGAUUAAACUACCAACAGGACAUUAAAAACUGUAACAUCUUAUGCUUCACAGAGUCGUGGCUGAACGACGACAAUAUCAACUUUCAGCUAGCUGGUUAUACGAUGUACCAGCAGGAUAGAACAGCGGCAUCUGGUAAGACAAGGGGCGGCGGUCUAUGUAUUUUUGUAAACAACAGCUGGUGCACGAUAUCUAAGGAAGUCUCGCGCUAUUGCUUGCCUGAGGUAGAGUUUCUCAUGAUAAGCUGCAGACCACAUUAUCUACCGAGAGAGUUUUCAUCUAUAUUCCUUGUAGCUGUUUACAUACCACCACAGUCAGAGGCUGACACUAAGAUAGCAUUGAAUGAGCUGUAUUCCGCCAUAAGCAAACAACAAAAUGCUCACCCAGAGGCGGUGCCUCUAGUACCUGGGGAUUUUAAUGCAGGGAAACUUAAAUCAGUUUUACCAGAUUUCUAUCAGCAUGUUAAAUGUGCAACCAGAGGGAAAAGAACUCUGGACUACCUAUACUUCACACACAGAGAUGCAUACAAAGCUGUCCCUCGCCCUCCAUUUGGCAAAUCUAACCAUAUUUCCAUCCUCCUGAUUCCUGCUUACAAGCAAAAAAUAAAACAGGAAGCACCAGUGACUAGAUCAAUAAAAAAGUGGUCAGAUGAAGCAGAUGCUAAGCUACAGCCCUGUUUUGCUAGCACAGACUGGAAUAUGUUCCGGGAUUCCUCCAAAGACAUUCAGGAGUACACAGCAUCUGUCAUUGGCUUCAUCAAUAAGUGCAUUGAUGACGUCGUCCCCACAGUGACUGUACGUACAUACCCCAACCAGAAGCCAUGGAUUGCAGGCAGCAUCCGCACUGAGCUAAAGGCUAGAGCUGCCACUUUCAAGGAGCGGGACUCUAACCCGGAAGCUUAUAAGAUAUCCUGCUAUCCCAUCCGACGAACCAUCAAACAGGCAAAGCGUCAAUAUAGGACUAAGAUCGAGUCGUACUACACCGGCUCUGAAGCUCGUCGGAUGUGGCAGGGACUGCAAACCAUUACAGACUACAAAAGGAAGCACAGCUGA